UAGCGUAGGGGGCAAGCGUUGUCCGGAAUCGAUUGGGCGUAAGCGCGUGUAGGCGGUCCGGUAAGUCCGCUGUGAAAGUCGGGGGCUCAACCCUCGGAUGCCGGUGGAUACUGUCGGGCUUGAGUACGGAAGAGGCGAGUGGAAUUCCUGGUGUAGCGGUGAAAUGCGCAGAUAGUCAGGAGGAACACCCGUGGCGAAAGCGGCUCUCUGGGACGGUACUGACGCUGAGACGCGAAAGCGUGGGGAGCAAACAGG
rnacentral:rRNA from 1 species